rnacentral:rRNA from 1 species
CGAACGCUGGCGGCGUGCUUAACACAUGCACGUCGAACGGUGAAGGGACCAGCUUGCUGGUUCUGGAUGAGUGGCGAACGGGUGAGUAACACGUGAGUAACCUGCCCCCUUCUUCUGGAUAACCGCAUGAAAGUGUGGCUAAUACGGGAUAUUCUGGGUCUGUCGCAUGGCGGGCCCGGGAAAGAUAUUGCUUCGGUGGGGGAUGGGCUCGCGGCCUAUCAGCUUGUUGGUGGGGUGAUGGCCUACCAAGGCGGUGACGGGUAGCCGGCCUGGGAGGGUGGACGGUCACACUGGGACUGAGACACGGCCCAGACUCCUACGGGAGGCAGCAGUGGGGAAUAUUGCACAAUGGGCGCAAGCCUGAUGCAGCGACGCCGCGUGAGGGAUGGAGGCCUUCGGGUUGUAAACCUCUUUCGCCAGUGAAGCAGGCCUGCUCCGUGUGGGUGGGUUGACGGUAGCUGGAUAAGAAGCGCCGGCUAACUACGUG